rnacentral:rRNA from 1 species
AGUGAACGCUGGCGGCAGGCCUAACACAUGCAAGUCGAACGGCAGCACAGAGGGGCUUGCUCCUUGGGUGGCGAGUGGCGGACGGGUGAGGGAUACAUCGGAAUCUGCCUAUUUGUGGGGGAUAACGUAGGGAAACUUACGCUAAUACCGCAUACGACCUACGGGUGAAAGCGGAGGACCUUCGGGCUUCGCGCAGAUAGCUGAGCUGAUGUCGGAUUAGCUAGUUGGUGGGGCAAAGGCCCAACAAGGCGACGAUCCGUAGCUGGUCUGAGAGGAUGAUCAGCCACACUGGAACUGAGACACGGUCCAGACUCCUACGGGAGGCAGCAGUGGGGAAUAUUGGACAAUGGGCGCAAGCCUGAUCCAGCCAUGCCGCGUGGGAGAAGAAGGCCUUCGGGUUGUAAAGCCCUUUUGUUGGGAAAGAAAAGCAGCCGGUUAAUACCCGGUUGUUCUGACGGUACCCAAAGAAUAAGCACCGGCUAACUUCGUGCCAGCCGCCGCCGUAA